rnacentral:lncRNA from 1 species
AGCCCGCGCCGCUGCCGCCGCUGCGAGGAAGUUGACUGACGCCGCUUCCUUCCACCCAGGACGCAGACCCUCGCAGUCCCUGGUAGCUGCAAAAAAUCCGGAGAGUUUGAGACAGAGACGCCUUAACCGCCCUCAUAUUCUUUCCAAGAAUUCACCUCUCAGGGGGCCAUUUCCGAAGUCCCUCGGGAAGGGCGGAAAACAAUAACAAACUUCAUCUGCGCUGUCAAGACUGAUUUAAAUCCUGGCCUUUCUCUCACCACUCUCGGGUGAACGUUCAGGGUCAUGCCCAUGAUAUAAAUAAUGUGAUGACAUACCACGGAGGCCCUUGCAGACACUUCCACACCCCUAAGAUACACCCGCCCAAGACUCGCGCCUCUCCCAUGACUACAUCACACAGACACAUCUGACACUGACCUGCAGAAGAUCCCACUUCUACCCUGUGUCCUCAAUCCACAGCCUUCGUGGGUCCCAGCAAUAGCGACCCACACAUACAAUCUAUUGGAGGCAGGGUGCGGGGGUGGGUUCCACCUCCCGACUUGCUCCUCACCCACAAUGUUCUCGGUAUUUUACCAUGAGAAAAAGACAGUUAAGAAGUUGGAUGAUCAAUUAACAAAUCAAGUUGGCUUUGCUUUUAAAAAGCCUUCUUCAUUAUCUGGAGAAAAGAGAAGGCCUGGGAAGAUGGCCUGCUUACUGUAAGAUUUUGUCAGACAGGCCUAAUUCUGGUCUGCUUACUGUAAGAUUUUCUCAGACGGCCU